AAAAAAGGUAAGCUACUAAGAGCGAAUGGUGGAUGCCUUGACUGGUAAAGGCGAUGAAGGACGUACUAGACUGCGAUAAGCUACGGGGAGCUGUCAAGAAGCUUUGAUCCGUAGAUUUCCGAAUGGGGCAACCCAAUGUAUAGAGAUAUACAUUACCUAUAUAGGAGCGAACGAGGGGAAUUGAAACAUCUUAGUACCCUCAGGAAAAGAAAUCAAUAGAGAUUGCGUCAGUAGCGGCGAGCGAAAGCGCAAGAGGGCAAACCCAGUGCUUGCACUGGGGGUUGUAGGACUGCAAUGUGCAAGAGGUGAGUUUAGCAGAACAUUCUGGAAAGUAUAGCCAUAGAGGGUGAUAGUCCCGUAUGCGAAAAACAAACCUUAGCUAGCAGUAUCCUGAGUAGGGCGGGACACGAGAAAUCCUGUCUGAAGCUGGGUCGACCACGAUCCAACCCUAAAUACUAAUACCAGAUCGAUAGUGCACAAGUACCGUGAGGGAAAGGUGAAAAGAACUGAGGUGAUCAGAGUGAAAUAGAACCUGAAACCAUUUGCUUACAAUCAUUCAGAGCACUAUGUAGCAAUACAGUGUGAUGGACUGCCUUUUGCAUAAUGAGCCUGCGAGUUGUGGUGUCUGGCAAGGUUAAGCAAACGCGAAGCCGUAGCGAAAGCGAGUCUGAAUAGGGCGCUUAGUCAGAUGCUGCAGACCCGAAACGAAGUGAUCUAUCCAUGAGCAAGUUGAAGCUAGUGUAAGAACUAGUGGAGGACUGAACCCAUAGGCGUUGAAAAGCCCCGGGAUGACUUGUGGAUAGGGGUGAAAGGCCAAUCAAACUUCGUGAUAGCUGGUUCUCUCCGAAAUAUAUUUAGGUAUAGCGUUGUGUCGUAAUAUAAGGGGGUAGAGCACUGAAUGGGCUAGGGCAUACACCAAUGUACCAAACCCUAUCAAACUCCGAAUACCUUAUAUGUAAUCACAGCAGUCAGGCGGCGAGUGAUAAAAUCCGUCGUCAAGAGGGAAACAACCCAGACUACCAGCUAAGGUCCCUAAAUCUUACUUAAGUGGAAAACGAUGUGAAGUUACUUAAACAACCAGGAGGUUGGCUUAGAAGCAGCCAUCCUUUAAAGAAAGCGUAAUAGCUCACUGGUCUAGUGAUUUUGCGCGGAAAAUAUAACGGGGCUAAAGUAAGUACCGAAGCUGUAGACUUGACUUUGUCAAGUGGUAGGAGAGCGUUCUAUUUGCGUCGAAGGUAUACCGGUAAGGAGUGCUGGAGCGAAUAGAAGUGAGCAUGCAGGCAUGAGUAGCGAUAAUUAAUGUGAGAAUCAUUAACGCCGUAAACCCAAGGUUUCCUACGCGAUGCUCGUCAUCGUAGGGUUAGUCGGG
rnacentral:rRNA from 1 species